GGGACAAUCUGAAGGUCCCUCAGCUCCAGAACCUGCUCUUGAACCAUCACCAGAAGUGGUAUCUGCAAAUGAGGCCUCUCAGGAUUCAGAGAGAGAGACAGCCAAAAAGGACUAAGCUGAGUGGAGCAUCACCAAAAUAACGACUCUUUAAGAGAACUGGAAGGAAAACAGGAUGA